rnacentral:misc_RNA from 1 species
UGCCAAAUCAUCAAACUUUUGGUUCUUAACCAAUGGGAAAACAGUGCACUUGAUGGGAGCCACAAGAGGAGGAAAGCGGAACACAUUUAGUUGCUCAUCAGUCGUUUUGCUCUGCCUGGUGUAGAAGGAAUGCUCGAACAGGCAGUAGAUUAUUCGACCAAUUCCGAAAGACGGUUCAAUCACCGAAGGUGUGAACACACGUUGGUGUUCCUUCUUCUUUUCCUUUCGAAUUGAUACCAUGUUUUUCUUUAUAGUA